UACGUAGGGUGCAAGCGUUAAUCGGAAUUACUGGGCGUAAAGCGUGCGCAGGCGGUUUUGUAAGUCUGUCGUGAAAUCCCCGGGCUUAACCUGGGAACUGCGUUUCUAACUGGCAGGCUUGAGUGUGGCAGAGGGGGGUGGAAUUCCACGUGUAGCAGUGAAAUGCGUAGAGAUGUGGAGGAACACCGAUGGCGAAGGCAGCCCCCUGGGCUAACACUGACGCUCAUGCACGAAAGCGUGGGGAGCAAACAGG
rnacentral:rRNA from 1 species